GCCCGGAUAGUAUAGCGGUUAGUACAUCGGUCUCAUACCACCGAGUAUGAUUGAGCAUGGCUCGAGGAAUCCGAAAAUCUGAGUUCGAUUCUCAGUCCAGGCA
rfam:Pseudocercospora fijiensis CIRAD86 unplaced genomic scaffold MYCFIscaffold_2, whole genome shotgun sequence.